UACGGGAGGCAGCAGUGGGGAAUAUUGCACAAUGGGCGCAAGCCUGAUGCAGCCAUGCCGCGUGUAUGAAGAAGGCCUUCGGGUUGUAAAGUACUUUCAGUCGUGAGGAAGGUGUUAAGGUUAAUAACCUUAGCAAUUGACGUUAGCGACAGAAGAAGCACCGGCUAACUCCGUGCCAGCAGCCGCGGUAAUACGGAGGGUGCGAGCGUUAAUCGGAAUUACUGGGCGUAAAGGGCACGCAGGCGGUUAAUUAAGUUGGAUGUGAAAUCCCCGGGCUUAACCUGGGAAUGGCAUUCAAGACUGGUUAGCUAGAGUCUUGUAGAGGGGGUAGAAUUCCAUGUGUAGCGGUGAAAUGCGUAGAGAUGUGGAGGAAUACCGGGUGGCGAAGGCGGCCCCUGGGACAAGACUGACGCUCAUGUGCGAAAGCGUGGGGAGCAAACAGGGAUUAGAUACC
rnacentral:rRNA from 1 species